ACACUUCCAAAUUUCUUUCACAGGAGAAGAGAACAACCUCGGAGCAGUGCCUGAAGUGUAGCUGUGAUGAGUCAUUGAUCAGUUAGAAAGCAGUUCACAGGCAUUUGGUCACCAGCUCUAUCCACAGGAAUGAGUAUCUGCCAGGAACAGGUUUUGGGGCCAAGCCAUAUCUGCCAUGAUCAGCAAAAGGUGCGCACAUCAUUCCCAGAGACAGCAGGAGAGAGACACUUACUGAAGCAAGCAGUCUGCCGGGAUUGUGCCUGCUCCAUGGAGGGCAUGAGGCUUACAUCAUGCAGCAGUGUGGAUUUCCUUUCUUUCCUGAACCCUUUCCCUGCCGUGUGUUAGUUCCUGACUGGAGACCCA
rnacentral:lncRNA from 1 species